ncrna:unclassified sequences S15-Flavobacteria ribosomal protein leader
UAUAUUUGCAAACUCAACGGAUAUUCCAUUGAUAUACAUAAUAAUCAUUUAAAUAAUAUUGGCAUG